rnacentral:rRNA from 1 species
GACAGAGGGGGCAAGCGUUGCUCGGAAUCACUGGGCGUAAAGGGCGCGUAGGCGGGAUGGCAAGUCAGUCGUGAAAUCUCUCGGCUCAACCGAGAAACGUCGGCUGAUACUGCCGUUCUUGAGGGAUGCAGAGGAGACUGGAAUUCCCGGUGUAGCGGUGAAAUGUGUAGAGAUCGGGAGGAACACCGGUGGCGAAGGCGGGUCUCUGGGCCGAUAUCGACGCUGAGGAGCGAAAGCGUGGGGAGCGAACAGG